UAGGAUAGAGGCCUACCAUGGUGGUAACGGGUAACGGGGUGUUAGGGCACGACACCGGAGAGGGAGCCUGAGAAACGGCUACCACAUCCAAGGAUGGCAGCAGGCGCGCAAAUUACCCAAUCCCGACACGGGGAGGUAGUGACAAUAAAUAACAAUACGGGGUUCUUUAGGAUCUCGUAAUUGGAAUGAGUACAAUUUAAAUCUCUUAACGAGGAACAAUUGGAGGGCAAGUCUGGUGCCAGCAGCCGCGGUAAUUCCAGCUCCAAUAGCGUAUAUUAAAGUUGUUGCAGUUAAAAAGCUCGUAGUUGAAUUUCGGGGUUAGUAGGUUGGUCAUGCCUCUGGUAUGUACUGGUCUCACUGAUUCCUCCUUCCUGAUGAACCGUAAUGCCAUUAAUUUGGUGUUGCGGGGAAUUUGGACUGUUACUUUGAAAAAAUUAGAGUGUUUAAAGCAAGCUAACGCUUGAAUACAUUAGCAUGGAAUAAUGAAAUAGGACGUUCGAUCCUAUUUUGUUGGUUUCUAGGAUUGACGUAAUGAUUAAUAGGGAUAGUUGGGGGCAUUAGUAUUCAAUUGUCAGAGGUGAAAUUCUUGGAUUUAUUGAAGACUAACUACUGCGAAAGCAUUUGCCAAGGAUGUUUUCAUUAAUCAAGAACGAAAGCUAGGGGAUCGAAGACGAUCAGAUACCGUCGUAGUCUUAACCAUAAACUAUGCCGACUAGG
rnacentral:rRNA from 1 species